GGGGCGUUAGGCAAGCCAGGUUCAAGCCGCUUGAUUUUCAAUCAAGAGAUGCGUGGGUUCAAAUCCACACGCCCUGCCA
rnacentral:tRNA from 1 species